CAGGCCUAACACAUGCAAGUCGAGCGGUAACAGAAAUUAGCUUGCUAAUUUGCUGACGAGCGGCGGACGGGUGAGUAAUGCCUGGGAAUAUGCCUUAGUGUGGGGGAUAACUAUUGGAAACGAUAGCUAAUACCGCAUAAUGUCUUCGGACCAAAGAGGGGGACCUUCGGGCCUCUCGCGCUAAGAUUAGCCCAGGUGAGAUUAGCUAGUUGGUGAGGUAAGAGCUCACCAAGGCGACGAUCUCUAGCUGGUCUGAGAGGAUGAUCAGCCACACUGGAACUGAGACACGGUCCAGACUCCUACGGGAGGCAGCAGUGGGGAAUAUUGCACAAUGGGCGAAAGCCUGAUGCAGCCAUGCCGCGUGUAUGAAGAAGGCCUUCGGGUUGUAAAGUACUUUCAGUAGGGAGGAAGGCGUUGUCGUUAAUAGCGGCUUCGUUUGACGUUACCUACAGAAGAAGCACCGGCUAACUCCGUGCCAGCAGCCGCGGUAAUACGGAGGGUGCGAGCGUUAAUCGGA
rnacentral:rRNA from 1 species